CGAACCGUGCGAACGUUGUUCGGAAUCACUGGGCUUAAAGGGCGCGUAGGUGGUUUGCCAAGUCGGGGUUGAAAUCUUUCGGCUUAACCGGAAAAGUGGCUUCGAUACUGGCAAGCUGGAGGGAGGUAGGGGCGGAUGGAACUUCCGGUGGAGCGGUGAAAUGUGUUGAUAUCGGAAGGAACGCCGGUGGCGAAAGCGAUCCGCUGGACCUCUUCUGACACUGAGGCGCGAAAGCCAGGGGAGCAAACGGGAUUAGAUACCCCGGUAGUCCUGGCCCUAAACGAUGGGUACUGAGUAGUGGACUUGCAUGGGUUCACUGCUGAAGCAAAAGUGGUAAGUACCCCGCCUGGGGAGUAUGAUCGCAAGGCUG
rnacentral:rRNA from 1 species